CGGCGACGGGUGAGUAAUGCCUAGGAAUCUGCCUGGUAUGGGGGACAACGUUUCGAAAGGAACGCUAAUACCGCAUACGUCCUACGGGNGAAAGCAGGGGACCUUCGGGCCUUGCGCUAUCAGAUGAGCCUAGGUCGGAUUAGCUAGUUGGUGAGGUAAUGGCUCACCAAGGCGACGAUCCGUAACUGGUCUGAGAGGAUGAUCAGUCACACUGGAACUGAGACACGGUCCAGACUCCUACGGGAGGCAGCAGAC
rnacentral:rRNA from 1 species